UCCUGUAUUCUAAAGUGAUUGUGGGCUUCCCGUGCUCUGGUCAUGGGUACUACAGGGAGAGGAUGCCGAAAGCCUCGUGUUUGGAAUGUCAUCUGCCCCUGCCAAACUGUGAUGCUCACU